AAGUCGUAACAAGGUAACCGUAGGUGAACCUGCGGUUGGAUCAUUACCAAAUAUCCAACGGGCCCGCUUGCAAGAGCGAGCCCUACCCACCUCUUGUGCAACGUAACGUUUUUGGCGGGAGCUUAAGUCUAUGGAACUUGUUCUAUAGGCAACGGCCUUGCGGGGAGAUUUAAUCAUCUCUCUGACCGCCAAUAUAAAUCACACACCAUACCCUACCUAUUAAAGACCUGACGCUAACAUGUUGGCGAGCGAAAGGAUUUAAACACUUUCAAUCAAAGACUAGAAUAACGAAAAACAACUUUUGACAACGGAUCUCUUGGCUCUC
rnacentral:misc_RNA from 1 species